rnacentral:rRNA from 1 species
UACGUAGGGACCAAGCGUUGCUCGGAUUUACUGGGCGUAAAGGGCGCGUAGGCGGCCUAGCAAGUCACUUGUGAAAUCUCCGGGCUUAACUCGGAACUGCCAAGUGAAACUGCUGGGCUAGAGUGCAGAAGGGGCAAUCGGAAUUCUUGGUGUAGCGGUGAAAUGCGUAGAUAUCAAGAGGAACACCUGAGGUGAAGACGGGUUGCUGGGCUGACACUGACGCUGAGGCGCGAAAGCCAGGGGAGCAAACGGG